rnacentral:rRNA from 1 species
CGGCAGGCUUAAUACAUGCAAGGUUGAGGGGCAGCAUGAUAUACGCGAGUAUAUUGAUGGCGACCGGCGGACGGGUGAGUAAUAGGUAGGAGACCUACCUCAUACAGGGGGAUAGCAUAGAGAAAUCUGUGGUAAUACCCCAUGAGGUUAUAUGAAUAGAGGCAUAUAAUCAAAGCAUAAGCGAUUAUGCGGUAUGAGAGGGGCCUACUGACCAUUAGCUAGUUGGUGAGGUAAGGGCUCACCAAGGCGAAGAUGGUUAGGGGUUUUGAGAGAGAGACCCCCCACAUUGGAACUGAGAGACGGUCCAGACUCCUACGGGAGGCAGCAGUAGGGAAUAUUGGGCAAUGGGCGAAAGCCUGACCCAGCCAUGCCGCGUGAAGGAAGACAGCCCUAUGGGUUGUAAACUGCUUUUAUAUGGGAGCAAUAAGGUCUACGUGUAGACUGAUGAGAGUACCAUAUGAAUAAGCAUCGGCUAACUCCGUG